AUGUGUGCACAUGGACAGUUCCUGUACGCUCUCCAAUCCGCCGUCAGCAGCCGCCAGUUGCAUCAUCUCCUCUUCUCCCCUCUCGCAGCUUCAGUCUUAAAAGCCUUGCCGGGGGUCUGGCAGACUGACUUCACACACACACCCAGCUGGCAUACCAUGGAGAGGGGAUCGGAGCCUCUUGCCAAUGGGCACGUUGGGAUGAAGAGCCGCCCAGCCUGUGUCAUUGCCGUCUCGGCUGGACUGGGCUCCGGGAAGGCAGCCAGGAGCGAGCAGCAGAGACCAUCACCAUCACCAGCCUUUGGCAGAGCGCUGGCUUUCCUGAAGAGAAACUCGCUGGUGAUUUUCACCGUGUCCGGGGUCCUGCUCGGGCUGGCUGUGGGACUGGGAGUGAGGAAGAUGCACAUUUCCCGCACUCACCUCCUCUACUUCGCCUUUCCCGGCGAGCUGCUGCUGCGGCUGCUGAAGAUGGUGAUCCUUCCCGUGGUGUUCUGCAGCCUGGUGUCGGGAGCUGCCAGUCUAGACACGAGAGCCCUGGGCAAGCUGGGGGGCAGAGCCAUCCUCUACUUUGCCCUCACCACCCUCAUUGGCUCGGCGCUCGGGGUUGCCCUGGGGCUGAUCAUCAAGCCAGGUGAACACAGCCAGGCCGGGCACGGCAAGAUCCCAGCCUCCAGCUCCGCACUCCCCUCCAAGGAAGCGACCGACUCCUUCCUGGACCUUUUCAGAAACCUGGUUCCCUCAAAUCUUGUUGCUGCAGCUUUCCGAUCAUAUGCGACAGAUUACAAAUGGGUGUUAACAGCUGCUCCUGAUGGAAAUGUAACAUCUGGAAACACUACAUAUGAAAAGGUUCCUAUUGGUACUGAGGUGGAAGGGAUGAACAUACUAGGACUGAUUCUCUUUGCAAUGACUUUUGGAAUUGCUCUCAGGAAACUUGGCCCUGAUGGAGAGCAGCUGAUUAGGUUUUUCAGUGCCUUCAAUGAUGCAACUAUGAUCUUGGUUUCUUGGAUUAUGUGGUAUGCACCAAUUGGAAUCCUGUUUCUGGUUGCCAGCAAAAUAUUGGAGAUGGAUGAUGUUGUUUCCCUGGUGACCGGCUUAGGAAAAUACGUUCUUGCUUCUAUACUGGGACAUUUCAUACAUGGAGGAAUUAUUCUACCCUUGAUCUAUCUGGUGUUUACCCGCAGAAAUCCAUACAAGUUUCUAUUAGGCAUCAUCACUCCAUUGACAACAGCAUUCGGAACAUGCUCCAGCUCAGGCACCCUCCCCUCAAUGAUCAAAUGUGUUGAAGAAAACAAUGGAAUCGACAAAAGGAUUUCUAAGUUUGUCCUUCCCAUUGGAGCUACUGUCAACAUGGAUGGAGCUGCCAUAUUUCAGAGUGUUGCUGCUGUCUUUAUUGCACACUUGAAUGGUGUCACCUUGGAUGCAGGACAGAUCUUUACUAUUAUAGUGACUGCAACAGCAUCCAGUGUUGGAGCAGCGGGAAUCCCGGCAGGAGGCGUACUCACAAUAGCAAUUAUCCUGGAAGCUAUUGGACUUCCCACCAAUGACCUCUCCCUCAUAUUAGCAGUUGAUUGGAUUGUGGACAGGAGCUGCACGGUGGUUAAUGUCGAAGGGGAUGCUCUGGGAGCAGCAAUCCUUCACUACACCAGUUUGAAGGAACUGGACCCAGUGAAAACGGAGCUAACAGAUGUGAAAGUUGAGGCUGUGGCUAACCCUAGUUCAGAGGAAGAAACAUCUCCACUGGUCACCUACCCUGUCCAGCCCUCUACUCCUGUCAACGCCAUUGAUCCAGAACUAAAAGAAUCAAUACUGUGAAGGCAUCAGAAUACCCAAAACAAACAACUGCUACCUGUGUCAGAAACCCGUUUCACCCUGGAGCAUCUACGUGGGAUUCUGCCGAGUUCACAACCUCAUCUUCAGAUCUCUCCACGGCUUCUCCUCCCCUCCCUAUCACCACGUAGCACAGCACACAUAGGGAACGAUAAUGUCGUGGUUAUGUUACUGGACUAGUAAUCCAACAGAUGGACUAAUAUCCUGGAGAUCUGAGUUCAAAUCUCCACCAUAACAGCUGUGGAAUUUGAAUUCAAUUAAUAAAGGUUGGGAAUAUGAAGCUAUUAUCUGCGGUGGUGGCCCCAAAAGUAUUUUGUCAUUAAAAACCCAUCUGGUUCACUGGUGUCCUUUAGGGAAGGAAAUCUGCUGUCUUUACCCGACCUGGCCUACGUGCGACUCCAGCGAUGUAGUUCACUCUUAACUGUCCCCUGAAAUGGCCUAGCAAGCCACUCAGUUGGAUUAGGGACAGGUCACAAGUGCUGGUUUUGGACAGUCACAAUCCCACAAGCGACCAAAAACAACACAACCUGUACAGCACGGCAGACUAGUAAUAGGGCAAUGCCAGUUUCUUCUUUCCGAUACCCCUCCUACCCCACCCACCCUCUGCCCCACUGCUGGCUCCAGCACACCCACCCCUGAUGGUGUCUCAUCUCGUGUGGAUUUGCUGACUCGAGCGGACACCAGGCCUUUUCUCCCUCUAACUGCUGCCAACUCCUGCUCCACCCGCGUGUCUGAUUAAAAUGCAACAUGGGUAGCAAGGCCUGGAAACAGGUGGUGGCCCCUUCACGGAUUCUCACUUGGGGAAGAUUAUUGGGCAGAGUGGGGGCUGGGACAAGGAGCAGAGGAAAAGGGCGCACAUGGAAAAUAUCAUUUUAAAAUUCAAGCGAUUAUUUCACUUGUGGCCUUAUUUCUCUCUGAUUCCAGUAAUAUUACUGCAGCUCCCAGCAUUGUUCAACCACCUCAAACUGUUCAGAAGGUGAAAAGGACAAUGAUAGUUUGCACUUGUUACCAUGACUACUGCUGAUUGAUGUCUGUCUUGUAUGUUUAAAUUAUGUAAUUUAGCCUGUCGUGAUGUAAUUUAUAGCCUAUAACUUCUAACAUAACAAUGUUGUUCCUGCUGUGGAUCACAUUACAAGCAAAUGCUGUGAAUUUAAAGUACUGACUGUCGUACUCUGGAAUUAACAGCAAAUCUGUCUGCAAUGUUCUUUGAAUAAAGUUCAAGCUGUCAA